GCAGUCGCGGUUAUACCAUUAAUACAAAUAAAUUUUUUUAGUAUUAAUUAAAUUAAAUUUAUUAAUAAUAAUAAAAUUAAAUAUAUUAAGUGAAAUUUUAUAUUUAAAUUAUUAUAUAAAAAUGUAAUUGAGGUUAAAAAAUUUUAAUAAAAAACUAGGAUUAGAUACCCUAUUAUUUAAAAUGUAAAUAAAUUGCUAAAGUAGUAAUAGUUAUGUUCUUGAAACUUAAAAAAUUUGGCGGUAUUUUAGUCUAUCUAGAGGAACCUGUUUUUUAAUCGAUAAUCCACGAUGGACCUUACUUAAAUUUGUAAUCAGUUUAUAUACCGUCGUUAUCAGAAUAUUUUAUAAGAAUAAUAAUAUUCAAUAAUUUUAAUAAAAAUUUAUAUCAGAUCAAGGUGUAGCUUAUAUUUAAGUAAUAAUGGGUUACAAUAAAUUUAUUUAUAUGAAUAAAAUUAUGAAAAAAUUUUUGAAAGUGGAUUUAGUAGUAAAAUUAUAAAGAUUAAUAAUUUGAUUUUAGCUCUAAAAUAUGUACACAUCGCCCGUCGCUCUUAUUAUUAAGGUAAGAUAAGUCGUAACAUAGUAGAUGUACUGGAAAGUGUAUCUAGAAUGA
rnacentral:rRNA from 1 species